GCUCAUCACUCUCGAUCUCUGUCUUCUUAACUCCUGAAAACCCUACCUCCAACCCAAACACUAGAAUCUUCAUCAACUCGAUCUACCAAAUUCUCUCAGUCCACCACCUUAUCCGACCGCCAACGUUGUUUUUCAACCCCAUAUUCCUCAAGUACCAUUUUCCCUCCCUCUUCCUCCAAAUUUAUGAUUCCCGGCCAUGAAGUUUUGAAUUUUAGACUGGGCUCUUUGAGCAUAUCGUCUUCAUCCCAUCAUUUCAGAGCAUUCUUAUCCAAAUAUGAUGAUAAUUGAUGAUGUGAGAUCUAAUAUGUGAGGGGAAAUUGAAGAGAACGGUGAACUCAUUCAUGAAUCUCUGAUUGAUGGGGAGCAUGAUUACUAGCAGUAGCUGGGUGAGCUUCAUACUCUCUUUUGCAGCCAUGACGUUUUCUCAUAACCAAAGAAGCAAUGACUCUUAGAACCUAUAUUGAGCAGAUCCAUGGUCUCAUUGAAGUUGAAUUGUAGAGCAGAUCCAAUUGAAAACUAUGAUAGAACACCACACUGGUUUUCUGAAUACCAGAAGUUUGUAGAUCUAAUACCAGAGCAAGAAUAAG